UGGGUUUGACAUGUACGUAGUAGGAAGCCGAAAGGCGACCCACCCCUCGGGGAGCGUACAC
rnacentral:rRNA from 1 species